rnacentral:rRNA from 1 species
UACGAAGGGGGCUAGCGUUGUUCGGAAUUACUGGGCGUAAAGCGCACGUAGGCGGCGCAGCAAGUUAGAUGUGAAAUGCCUGGGCUUAACCUAGGAACUGCAUUUAAGACUGCUGUGCUAGAGACCGGGAGAGGGUGGCGGAAUUCCCAGUGUAGAGGUGAAAUUCGUAGAUAUUGGGAAGAACACCGGUUGCGAAGGCGGCCACCUGGACCGGCACUGACGCUGAGGUGCGAAAGCGUGGGGAGCAAACAGG